UGGUGCUGCAUGGCCGUCGUCAGCUCGUGUCGUGAGAUGUUUGGUUAAGUCCAGCAACGAGCGCAACCCCUGUUGCCAGUUACCUGCACGUGAAGGUGGGGACUCUGGCGAGACUGCCCAGAUCAACUGGGAGGAAGGUGGGGACGACGUCAGGUCAGUAUGGCCCUUAUGCCCAGGGCUGCACACGUACUACAAUGCCCAGUACAGAGGGGGCCGAAGCCGCGAGGCGGAGGAAAUCCUAAAAACUGGGCCCAGUUCGGACUGUAGGCUGCAACCCGCCUACACGAAGCCGGAAUCGCUAGUAAUGGCGCAUCAGCUACGGCGCCGUGAAUACGUUCCCGGGUCUUGUACACACCGCCCGUCACAUCAUGGAAGCCGGUCGCACCCGAAGUAUCUGAAGCCAACCGCAAGGAGGCAGGGUCCUAAGGUGAGACUGGUAACUGGGAUGAAGUCGUAACAAGGUAGCCGUAGGGGAACCUGCGGUUGGAUCACCUC
rnacentral:rRNA from 1 species